GGAGAGGUGGCCGAGUGGCUGAAGGCGCUCCCCUGCUAAGGGAGUAUGGGGUAACUCAUCGAGGGUUCGAAUCCCUCCCUCUCCGCCA
rnacentral:tRNA from 1 species